rnacentral:misc_RNA from 1 species
AACAUCGCGCACCUGCGGGAACCUGCGGAAGGAUCAUUAAUGAUUGGAGGCUGUUGCUGACUAGUGUUUCUAGUAUGUGCACGCCACACCUUCAAUCCCACUUACACCUGUGCACCUUCUGUAAUAGAUCUAUGUGGAUACGGAGAUAUGAAAGUUUGCGCUCUCGUACUCUGUUGAAGCAGUCUACUACGUUUUUUUACACACACACAAUAGUCAUUGAAUGUAUUUUUUAUUCUUAUG